rnacentral:sRNA from 1 species
GCUGCAGCAAAUUCUGCAGCCGGGCGUAGGAACCCGUAUCCAGUCAGCGCACAACACGCGCCUGCGUGUUUUUU